rnacentral:rRNA from 1 species
AUUGAACGCUGGCGGCAUGCCUUACACAUGCAAGUCGAACGGUAACAGGUUAAGCUGACGAGUGGCGAACGGGUGAGUAAUAUAUCGGAACGUGCCCAGUCGUGGGGGAUAACGUAGCGAAAGCUACGCUAAUACCGCAUCCGAUCUACGGAUGAAAGCGGGGGAUCGCAAGACCUCGCGCGAUUGGAGCGGCCGAUAUCAGAUUAGGUUCUUGGUGAGGUAAAAGCUCACCAAGCCUGCGAUCUGUAGCUGGUCUGAGAGGACGACCAGCCACACUGGAACUGAGACACGGUCCAGACUCCUACGGGGGGCAGCAGUGGGGAAUUUUGGACAAUGGACGCAAGUCUGAUCCAGCAAUGCCGCGUGCAGGACGAAGGCCUUCGGGUUGUAAACUGCUUUUGUACGGAACGAAACGGUGAGCUCUAAUACAGUUUGCUAAUGACGGUACCGUAAGAAUAAGCACCGGCUAACUACGUGCCAGCCGCCGCAGUAA